AUUGAACGCUGGCGGCAGGCCUAACACAUGCAAGUCGAACGAGUGGCGGACGGGUGAGUAAUGUCUGGGAAACCGCCUGAUGGAGGGGGAUAACUACUGGACACGGUAGCUAAUACCGCAUACCAUCGGAUGUCCCCAGAUGGGAAUAGCUAGUAGGUGGGGUAAUGGCUCACCUAGGCGACGACCCCUAGCUGGUCUGAGAGGAUGACCAGACACACUGGAACGGAGACACGGUCCAGACUCCGACGGGAGGCAGCAGUGGGGAAUAUUGCACAAUGGGCGCAAGCCUGAUACAGCCAUGCCGCGUGUGUGAAGAAGGCCUUCGGGUUGUAAAGCACUUUCAGCGAGGAGGCGUUACUCGCAGAAGAAGCACCGGCUAACUCCGUGCCAGCAGCCGCGGUAAUAC
rnacentral:rRNA from 1 species